rnacentral:lncRNA from 1 species
CUGGCCCUGAUCUGACACACAUGCUGCCUUGCACCUGAGGCUCCUUCUUGGCUUACCAUGAUCCAGGGAGACUCUGGACACAGGAUCCACGUGGGCUCCUUAGUGGGAUGACCUUCCAACACUUAUGCCAAGAGGGCUCCCACCCUCACACACCCUUGUGCCAGCUGCUGGGAUUGCAGUGUGACUCAGAGCUGCUGGAGAAGCUGCAGAGAAACAGAAAAUGUCUCAGGCACGGGAAAUUCAACAUAUGGCUGUGUUAGGAGAGUGUGGUCACAACUGAGCAGUGAGUGCUGGAAUGAGGAACCCUCAGCACUGGGAUUUGGUCUGAAGAGCAUCAUCACAUAUGUCUGUUUGCAUUUUUAUGAAUAAAUCAAAAGAGAGAUGACA